rnacentral:lncRNA from 1 species
GUUGUGACCCAGCACUCCAGCACAGUGGAAUCAGAGGAAAACAGAAAAGGUGCAAAAUCACAUCUUUCAAUCUGAAAAAUUCUUAAAGGCUGGGAACGCGUGCCAAGCAGUGUGUGUGCUGUUCUGAGGUAACCUGGAGCCAAGGUGUCCCACAAAGAUCCACCAGCACCAGCAGCAUGAGCUCCAGCCUCACAUGGCCCCUUCCAGCUUGCCCACGCCAGGGCCUCGUGUUCCCACAGCAGAUGCCCGAGCCUUGUGUUUGCUGGCUACACAGAUACUCCGAGGGAGGACUUAGGAACCACCAAAGGCCAUGGUGUUUCCAGGGGCAUUGGAAGGCUUCCCUCAGGCUGGAGAUGGCCAGGCUGGUCCAUCCCUGGGCAGGGAAUCUGGUCCAGCCCAGCUGGGUGAUGUGGGAUGGGGCUGCUGGAGGAGGAAGAGCAUCACACCACUGCGAGCUCACAGCCCCCUCCACUCUGGGCCUUGCUCUAACCAGAGAGAAAUCCUGACAGAAACCUAUUGGAAAAAACCCACAUCCUGGCAGAACAACGUGGCUGCUUUAUGCUGUGGCAACAAACGUGACCAGAUUUUCCCAGAGCAAGGAGUCUGUCAGGGAUUGGGACAAUGACUACAGCCUGGUGUCACACACUGUCCUGCCUGGACAUUCCGACCUUCUGCUGGAAAUGAGGCCACUCCAGUGGAAGAAAGAUAACGUGUCUCUAAACUAUGAGUUGUUGUGUGAUGGGUUUGUGGUUUUUUUUAUUCAAUUCAGCUAUUUAUAAAUGUGAUAGACCUCUGUUUCUCCUGCCUCUUUCAGCACCCCACUGGAGAAUGUGUGAAAAGCUCUAAUUUCCCUUGAGGAAAAGAGUAUCUUGUGAUUUCAGUGAAAAGCUGUGUUCACACUAUGGUCAAUAAAUUCCUAUAGACAAUUUUGCCCCUUUGGAAU